AUGGGGGCGGUCCUGAGAGACGACAGAGGAAGGUUUAUUGCUGGAGGGAAUGGGAAGAUAGACUAUUGCGCGGAUGCGUUGAUGGCGGAAGCCUUAGCUCUCAAAUUUGGUCUAACAAUGGCGCAAAGAGUGGGAUGUAAUCGCCUUAUUAUCAAAUCGGAUAAUCUGGAGGUGAUUGAUACUAUGCAUGAUGGAGGGCAGUCGUCGGGUGCGGCGGCAACAAUCUUUGACGAUUGUUUUCAUUAUGCCUAUGAUUUCGUUGCUACUAGUUUUGAGCAUUGUAAUAGAGAAGCAAAUAAAGUUGCUCAUGAGCUUGCUAGAUUAGCUAGAUUUUCUUUGACUUCUGAUUGGUUUGAGGGAUCUUUAAAUGAAAUUGUAAUACUCCUCAGAAACGAUGUACUAUUUAUUUUUAAUGAAUAA
rnacentral:rRNA from 1 species